CAGUAGCCGCGGGAAUACGAAGGGGGCUAGCGUCGUUCGGAAUUACUGGGCGUAAAGCGCACGUAGGCGGCUUGGUAAGUUAGAGGUGAAAGCCCGGAGCUCAACUCCGGAAUUGCCUUUAAGACUGCCGAGCUAGUAGGUGAGAGAGGUAAGUGGAAUUCCGAGUGUAGAGGUGAAAUUCGUAGAUAUUCGGAAGAACACCAGUGGCGAAGGCGGCUUACUGGCUCAUUCUAGACGCUGAGGUGCGAAAGCGUGGGGAGCAAACAGGAUUAGAUACCCCCGUAGUCCCUGUCUCUUAUAC
rnacentral:rRNA from 1 species